rnacentral:rRNA from 1 species
UACGAGGGGGGCGAGCGUUGUUCGGAAUUACUGGGCGUAAAGGGCGCGUAGGCGGGUCGUUAAGUUAGAGGUGAAAGCCCAGGGCUCAACCCUGGAAUUGCCUUUGAUACUGGCGGCCUUGAGUAUGGCAGAGGUGUGUGGAACUCCGAGUGUAGAGGUGAAAUUCGUAGAUAUUCGGAAGAACACCAGUGGCGAAGGCGACACACUGGGCCAUUACUGACGCUGAGGCGCGAAAGCGUGGGGAGCAAACAGG